GUUUAUAUAUGAUACCAGUACCUCCUUUUAUAAUUUUUUAUAAGCUUUUAAAAUUUGAAUUUGAUGUUAUAGUGUGUAUACGAUUUUGUGUUUGUACCAAAUUUCUUCUUUUUUCGCCUAGACACGAGGAAAAGCUUCCUGAAGAAGUGAUUGUAUACCCACGAAACAUGGAGCAGAACAAUCACCGACUUGUUCCCUUACUGUUCCAAGUAAACUCUGAAGCACUGCAUACAGCAAGCACGCAGCCCUGCAACACCCGAAGCAGUUUUUACGGGUUUGUAUACCGAACACCAUUUCAUGUGC